rnacentral:lncRNA from 1 species
GGCGAACUAGAAAAUAUAUUUUUAACAUGGCAUUUACAUUGUGUAGGACCGUACAGGUGUCGUAUAGCAUACUAUUAGCUUCUAUUACCAGGUAUAAACAAUAUUUGAAAAAAAAAAAAAAAAACAAUUUCCCUUAUGAAAUAACAAUUAUACAGUUAAUACAUGUUCAGGCCAAAAAUAAUAUACAAACGGUUUCUAUGGAAUG